UUGUAGUGUGUGUGUGUGUGUGUAUCACAUAUACACAUAAACAUAUAUAUAUAUACACACAUACACAUACAAAAUAUAUUAUAAAUGUAUACAAUGGA
ensembl:miRNA